rnacentral:rRNA from 1 species
AUACGCGUGUGUGAAGAAGGCCUGAGGGUUGUAAAGCACUUUCAAUAGGAAGGAAUACCUAUCGGUUAAUACCCGGUAGACUGACAUUACCUAUACAAGAAGCACCGGCUAACUCCGUGCCAGCAGCCGCGGUAAUACGGAGGGUGCAAGCGUUAAUCGGAAUUACUGGUCGUAAAGCGUGCGUAGGCGGUUAUUUAAGUCAGAUGUGAAAGCCCUGGGCUUAACCUGGGAACUGCAUUUGAUACUGGAUGACUAGAGUUGAGUAGAGGAGAGUGGAAUUUCAGGUGUAGCGGUGAAAUGCGUAGAGAUCUGAAGGAACACCAGUGGCGAAGGCGGCUCUCUGGACUCAAACUGACGCUGAGGUACGAAAGCGUGGGUAGCAAACAGGAUUAGAUACCCUGGUAGUCCACGCCGUAAACGAUGUCAACUAACCGUUGGGUUCUUUAAGAACUUAGUGGUGGAGCUAACGUAUUAAGUUGACCGCCUGGGGAGUACGGCCGCAAGGCUAAAACUCAAAUGAAUUGACGGGGGCCCGCACAAGCGGUGGAGCAUGUGGUUUAAUUCGAUGCAACGCGAAGAACCUUUACUACCCUUGACAUGUAGCGAAUCCUUUAGAGAUAGAGGAGUGCCUUCGGGAACGCUA